rnacentral:rRNA from 1 species
UACAGAGGGUGCAAGCGUUAAUCGGAAUUACUGGGCGUAAAGCGUGUGUAGGUGGUUGGAUAAGUUAGAUGUGAAAUCCCCGGGCUUAACCUGGGCACUGCGUUUAAGACUGUUUAACUAGAGUACUGUAGAGGAUAGUGGAAUUUCCAGUGUAGCGGUGAAAUGCGUAGAUAUUGGAAGGAACACCAGUGGCGAAGGCGACUAUCUGGAUAGAUACUGACACUGAGACACGAAAGCGUGGGGAGCAAACAGGAUUAGAAACCCCCGUAGUCC